AUGAUGUUUUUUCAUGGCACCGACACAUUAUUGAGUAGUAGCGCAUUAGAUGACCAAUGUAUAUCUCUAUUUGAGGAAUUCUCCAAAGAUCCAGAGCCGAUUGUUUCAUAGAGCUGUGAAGUUGCGUUAAACAUACUGGAUUUUGAACGAUCCGACAAACCAUUCGAGGUACUUGGAAGAUUAAGUCUCUUAUCUGGGUGGUUGUUACAGGUUUAGGAUGUUAAAUGAUUUUGGAUGUACU
rnacentral:lncRNA from 1 species